rnacentral:misc_RNA from 1 species
GGCAAAAUGAAAGAAAACUGUAUCUGGAAUUUAAUUGGCCCAAGCUGCAGAUGCUUUUGAGGAUUGCAUACCAGCAUUUUAAGAAUUUUCUUCUAGAAUUCCCUAGUCACGGAUUAGCAUGAUUUUGUGGCCUUGAUUGUUGUUAUUUGUAGCCCGGUGUUACCACUUGUGGGUAACUGUCAUUUGUGUGCAAAAUCUCAGUAGUACAGGUAAAAUGAUUUCAUAUUUCCAUGCUUAUGCUUUGCCUAGUCAUUUUUUUUCCUUGCUGUGCCUUUUUUUUUUUUUUUUU